GACGAACGCUGGCGGCGUGCUUAACACAUGCAAGUCGAACGGAAAGGCCCUGCUUUUGUGGGGUGCUCGAGUGGCGAACGGGUGAGUAACACGUGAGUAACCUGCCCUUGACUUUGGGAUAACUUCAGGAAACUGGGGCUAAUACCGGAUAGGAGCUCCUGCUGCAUGGUGGGGGUUGGAAAGUUUCGGCGGUUGGGGAUGGACUCGCGGCUUAUCAGCUUGUUGGUGGGGUAGUGGCUUACCAAGGCUUUGACGGGUAGCCGGCCUGAGAGGGUGACCGGCCACAUUGGGACUGAGAUACGGCCCAGACGCCUACGGGAGGCAGCAGUGGGGAAUAUUGCAAAAUGGGCGGAAGCCUGAUGCAGCAACGCCGCGUGCGGGAUGACGGCCUUCGGGCUGUAAACCGCUUUCGCCUGUGACGAAGCGUGAGUGACGGUAAUGGGUAAAGAAGCACCGGCUAACUACGUG
rnacentral:rRNA from 1 species